UCCAGACUCCUACGGGAGGCAGCAGUGGGGAAUAUUGCACAAUGGGGGAAACCCUGAUGCAGCGACGCCGCGUGAGUGAAGAAGUAUUUCGGUAUGUAAAGCUCUAUCAGCAGGGAAGAUAAUGACGGUACCUGACUAAGAAGCCCCGGCUAACUACGUGCCAGCAGCCGCGGUAAUACGUAGGGGGCAAGCGUUAUCCGGAUUUACUGGGUGUAAAGGGUGCGUAGGUGGCAGGGCAAGUCAGAUGUGAAAGCCCGGGGCUCAACCCCGGUACUGCAUUUGAAACUGUCCAGCUGGAGUGCAGGAGAGGUAAGCGGAAUUCCUAGUGUAGCGGUGAAAUGCGUAGAUAUUAGGAGGAACACCAGUGGCGAAGGCGGCUUACUGGACUGUAACUGACACUGAGGCACGAAAGCGUGGGGAGCAAACAGGAUUAGAUACCCUUGUAAC
rnacentral:rRNA from 1 species